CAGAUAAAUGCCUACGCUUCGAUAACCGAAAGCGUUCUGGACAACGCCGCUCUUCCACUCGCCUAUCGGGUGUACCGCAAGCUCGUAAGGAAGAGCCGCAACUUGGGAGCCUCGGACUGGGUGCUCAAGCAGCUCCCCGAGGUCUCGUCUGACCGAAUAUUCUUCCUGGCUUUCGCCACGAUGUUUUGCGACUUGAAGCGGACCAGAGCCCUUAAAAUGCAGCUGACA